AUUGAACGCUGGCGGCAUGCCUUACACAUGCAAGUCGAACGGUAACAGGUCUUCGGAUGCUGACGAGUGGCGAACGGGUGAGUAAUACAUCGGAACGUGCCUAGUAGUCGGGGAUAACUACUCGAACGAGUGGCUAAUACCGCAUGAGACCUACGGAUGAAAGCAUGGGAUCGCAAGACCUUGUGCUCCUCGAGCGGCCGAUGGCGGAUUAGGUAGUUGGUGGGAUAAAAGCUUACCAAGCCGUCGAUCUGUCGCUGGGCUGAGAGGACUAGCAGCCACACUGGGACUGAGACACGGCCCUGACUCCUGCGGGAGGCAGCAGUGGGGAAUGUUGGACAAUGGGCGCAAGCCUGAUCCAGCAAUGCCGCGUGCAGGAUGAAGGCCUUCGGGUUGGAAACUGCUUUCGUACGGAACGAAAAGCCCUGGGUUAAUACCCUGGGGUCAUGACGGUACCGUAAGAAUAAGCACCGGCUAACUACGUGCCAGCCGCCGCCGUAA
rnacentral:rRNA from 1 species